rnacentral:rRNA from 1 species
CCUACGGGAGACAGCAGUGGGGAAUAUUGCGCAAUGGGCGAAAGCCUGACGCAGCGACGCCGCGUGAGGGAUGAAGGUCUUCGGAUCGUAAACCUCUGUCAGCAGGGAAGAACGGUCACUGUGCUAAUCAGCAGUGAAUUGACGGUACCUGCAAAGGAAGCACCGGCUAACUCCGUGCCAGCAGCCGCGGUAAUACGGAGGGUGCGAGCGUUAAUCGGAAUUACUGGGCGUAAAGCGCUCGUAGGCGGUAUGUCAAGUCAAGGGUGAAAUCCCCGCGCUCAACGUGGGAACUGCCUUUGAAACUGGCAGACUGGAGUGUGUGAGAGGAUAGUGGAAGUCGAGGGGUAGGAGGGAAAUCCGUAGAUAUCUGGAGGAACAUCAGUGGCGAAGGCGACUAUCUGGCACAUAACUGACGCUGAGGAGCGAAAGCGUGGGUAGCAAACAGGAUUAGAUACCCGAGUAGUC